GAUGAAGAACGUAGUGAAAUGCGAUACGUAAUGUGAAUUGCAGAAUUCAGUGAAUCAUCGAGUCUUUGAACGCACAUUGCGCCCCCUGGUAUUCCGGGGGGCAUGCCUGUCCGAGCGUCAUUGCUGCCCUCAAGCACGGCUUGUGUGUUGGGCCUCCGUCCUCCUCCCGGGGGGCGGGCCCGAAAGGCAGCGGCGGCACCGCGUCCGGUCCUCGAGCGUAUGGGGCUUCGUCACCCGCUCUUGUAGGCCCGGCCGGCGCUUGCCGACACAUCAAUCUUUUUUCCAGGUUGACCUCGGAUCAGGUAGGGAUACCCGCUGAACUUAAGCAUAUCAAUAAGCGGAGGA
rnacentral:misc_RNA from 1 species